UGGGGAAUUUUGGACAAUGGGGGCAACCCUGAUCCAGCAAUGCCGCGUGUGUGAAGAAGGCCUUCGGGUUGUAAAGCACUUUUGUCCGGGAAGAAAUCCCCUGCCCUAAUACGGCGGGGGGAUGACGGUACCGGAAGAAUAAGCACCGGCUAACUACGUGCCAGCAGCCGCGGUAAUACGUAGGGUGCGAGCGUUAAUCGGAAUUACUGGGCGUAAAGCGUGCGCAGGCGGUGAUGUAAGACCGAUGUGAAAUCCCCGGGCUCAACCUGGGAACUGCAUUGGUGACUGCAUUGCUCGAGUAUGGCAGAGGGGGGUGGAAUUCCACGUGUAGCAGUGGAAUGCGUAGAGAUGUGGAGGAACACCGAUGGCGAAGGCAGCCCCCUGGGCCAAUACUGACGCUCAUGCACGAAAGCGUGGGGAGCAAACAGGAUUAGAUACCCUGGUAGUCCACGCCCUAAACGACGUCAACUGGUUGUCGGGCCUUCAUUGGCUUGGUAACGUAGCUAACGCGUGAAGUUGACCGCCUGGGGAGUACGGUCGCAAGAUUAAAACUCAAUGAAUUGACGGGGUCAUAGCUG
rnacentral:rRNA from 1 species